UACGUAGGGUGCGAGCGUUGUCCGGAAUUAUUGGGCGUAAAGGGCGCGUAGGCGGUUUGGCAAGUUUGGUGUGAAAUCUUCGGGCUCAACUCGAAGUCUGCAUCGAAAACUGCCGGGCUUGAGUAUGGGAGAGGUGAGUGGAAUUUCCGGUGUAGCGGUGAAAUGCGUAGAUAUCGGAAGGAACACCUGUGGCGAAAGCGGCUCACUGGACCAUUACUGACGCUGAGGCGCGAAAGCUAGGGGAGCAAACAGG
rnacentral:rRNA from 1 species